rnacentral:rRNA from 1 species
CUCGUAGACUCCUACGGGAGGCAGCAGUGGGGAAUCUUGGACAAUGGGCGCAAGCCUGAUCCAGCCAUGCCGCGUGAGUGAUGAAGGCCUUAGGGUCGUAAAGCUCUUUCGCCAGGGAUGAUAAUGACAGUACCUGGUAAAGAAACCCCGGCUAACUCCGUGCCAGCAGCCGCGGUAAUACGGAGGGGGUUAGCGUUAAUCGGAAUUACUGGGCGUAAAGCGCAUGCAGGUGGUUUGUUAAGUCAGAUGUGAAAGCCCGGGGCUCAACCUCGGAAUUGCAUUUGAAACUGGCAGACUAGAGUACUGUAGAGGGGGUAGAAUUUCAGGUGUAGCGGUGAAAUGCGUAGAGAUCUGAAGGAAUACCGGUGGCGAAGGCGGCCCCCUGGACAGAUACUGACACUCAGAUGCGAAAGCGUGGGGAGCAAACAGGAUUAGAUACCCUGGUAG